UCAUCUCCUAAUAAAUUGUAACAGAAAGCCGGCUACAGUGUCACAUGCCAUUCACGAGUAAAUAAUCUAAUGAUACUAACUGCCAGUUUGAAAAGAUGAAAGUUACUAUCCACUUUUUGAAUUUCUUCAUUUUUGGGAAAUGUGGGUUAAUUAGAAAUGGGUCUAAUUGACACAAACUGCUGAAAAUUACGGAAAACACGUGUAGGUUGGCAAUGGCAGACAUUUAAUUGGACUCUUUUUUAGCAGACUAAAAUACUAGUUUCAUCGCCAUCUAUGAUUCACAUUUAAAACUACUGAUAUGGAACGAUAAGUCUUCGUUACGCAAGUCCGCCGCCAUUUUUUUUCGAGCACUGAUUGAAAGCGUAUCAAUAGAUAAUCCGUACGGCGUAUUUUCCUUCCUGACAUUUUUCUUCAUAAAAAUGGAAAUUUCAGCUGAUCAUGUGGCCUGAGCAUCUGUACAUUUUGCCAAGAUGUUGUCUCUUUUUCCUGUACUGGCUGUACGUUUUGUAAGAAACACUUCAGAACAAAUCAGUCUGGCAAAGUCUGAGCUUCGUCGUUGCUGCCCAAUGUACACAUGGAUUUGAUGCAGCCAGCUGGUAAAGGGUCCUUUGCUACCUGUACUGCUGUGUGUUUCGUCAAAUGAAGAAACAUGAACAGCUGAAGUUUAUCGUGUAUGUUCGCGUAGUUGCUGUCCGCUGUGGUACGUUGUUGCAGCCUAUGCUGGUUAUAGAUCUUUCUGCAUCAAAUUCAAUUGGCCGUUUGGUGCUGGUGUCGUGUUACCGAAGUUGCAUUAUUAUUUUAUGAAAUUGGCAUUGUGUCAAUGUAGUAUACCGUUAAUAUGUUAAGAAGGAACAAAAAAGAAAUAUGGGGAUGUUUAUGUCAAACAAAUAAUAAACAUGUUUUCGGGAUUGGGAAAGGAAAGAGGAGGAUGUGGAAGGGGGAUAUUUCAAGUUUGGUUAAAAAACAGUUAAUUUAUAACCCUACAAACAUAUCCCUACCAAUUAAUCUCCAAACCCCACAAACUUAUACCUUCCAAUUCUUCAGACCCCAUAAACAUUACACCUAUCAACCCUCAAAUGUAUACCCUAAACCACAUAAACCAAUGUCAAACCCUAUGUCUUUAAUAAAUAAAAAAAUUUAAUACAUCAAACUAGUUUUUA